GGGGUUGUGGCUCAGUGGUAGAGCACUCGCUUAGCAUGCAUGAGGCACUGGGUUCGAUCCCCAGCUCCCA
rnacentral:tRNA from 1 species